rnacentral:rRNA from 1 species
AGAGUUUGAUCGUGGCUCAGGAUGAACGCUGGCGGCGUGCCUAACACAUGCAAGUCGAGCGAUCUCUUCGGAGAGAGCGGCGGACGGGUGAGUAACGCGUGGGUAACCUGCCCUGUACACACGGAUAACAUACCGAAAGGUAUACUAAUACGGGAUAACAUAUNAAAGUCGCAUGGCUUUUGUAUCAAAGCUCCGGCGGUACAGGAUGGACCCGCGUCUGAUUAGCUAGUUGGUAAGGUAAUGGCUUACCAAGGCAACGAUCAGUAGCCGACCUGAGAGGGUGAUCGGCCACACUGGAACUGAGACACGGUCCAGACUCCUACGGGAGGCAGCAGUGGGGAAUAUUGCACAAUGGGCGAAAGCCUGAUGCAGCAACGCCGCGUGAGCGAUGAAGGCCUUCGGGUCGUAAAGCUCUGUCCUCAAGGAAGAUAAUGACGGUACUUGAGGAGGAAGCCCCGGCUAACUACGUGCCAGCAGCCGCGGUAAUACGUAGGGGGCUAGCGUUAUCCGGAAUUAUUGGGCGUAAAGGGUGGGUAGGUGGUUUUUUAAGUCAGAAGUGAAAGGCUACGGCUCAACCGUAGUAAGCUUUUGAAACUAGGGAACUUGAGUGCAGGAGAGGAGAGUAGAAUUCCUAGUGUAGCGGUGAAAUGCGUAGAUUUUAGGAGGAAUCCCAGUAGCGAAGGGGGCUCUUUGGACUGUAACUGACACUGAGGCACGAAAGCGUGGGGAGCAAACAGGAUUAGAUACCCUGGUAGUCCACGCCGUAAACGAUGAGUACUAGGUGUCGGGGGUUACCCCCCUCGGUGCCGCAGCUAACGCAUUAAGUACUCCGCCUGGGAAGUACGCUCGCAAGAGUGAAACUCAAAGGAAUUGACGGGGACCCGCACAAGUAGCGGAGCAUGUGGUUUUAUUCGAAGCAACGCGAAGAACCUUACCUAAAGCUUGACAAUCCCACUGACCUCUCCCCUAAUCGGAGAUUUCCCUUCGGGGACAGUGGUGACAGGUGGUGGCAUGGUUGUCGUCAGCUCGUGUCGUGAGAUGUUUGGGUUAAGUCCCGCAACGAGCGCAACCCUUGCCUUUAGUUGCCAGCAUUAAGUUGGGCACUCUAGAGGGACUGCCGAGGAUAACUCGGAGGAAGGUGGGGAUGACGUCAAAUCAUCAUGCCCCUUAUGCUUAGGGCUACACACGUGCUACAAUGGGUGGUACAGAGGGUUGCCAAGCCGCGAGGUGGAGCUAAUCCCUUAAAGCCAUUCUCAGUUCGGAUUGUAGGCUGAAACUCGCCUACAUGAAGCUGGAGUUACUAGUAAUCGCAGAUCAGAAUGCUGCGGGAAUGCGUUCCCGGGUCUUGUACACACCGCCCGUCACACCAUGGAAGUUGGGGGCGCCCGAAGCCGGUUAGCUAACCUUUUAGGAAGCGGCCGUCGAAGGUGAAACCAAUGACUGGGGUGAAGUCGUAACAAGGUA